rnacentral:rRNA from 1 species
UAAUACGUAGGGCCCGAGCGUUAUCCGGAUUUACUGGGCGUAAAGCGUGCGUAGGUGCCUGGCUAAGUUUCUGGUGAAAUCCCUCAGCUUAACUGAGGAACUGUCAGAAAAACUAGCUGGGUUGAGUGUGACAGGGGCAGACGGAAUUGAUGGUGUAGCGGUAAAAUGCGUAGAUAUCAUCAAGAACACCGAUGGCGAAGGCAGUCUGCUGGGUCAUCACUGACACUGAGGCACGAAAGCGUGGGUAGCGAACGGGAUUAGAUACCCCGGUAGUCCACGCCGUAAACGAUGGGUACUAGGUAUUCGGGGAAUAGACCCCCUGGGUAUCGAAGCUAACGCGUUAAGUACCCCGCCUGGGGAGUACGGUCGCAAGACUA